rnacentral:lncRNA from 1 species
UGCGCCUUGGCCACCUCGCGCCCUUGCCGCCGCGCGCUUGCUCGCUCGCCGCCGGAGCGCCGCCGCCGUUCAACUGCGUGCAUUCUAACAGGGGGAGAGGGUAGAUAGAGUUAGAAAGUAGAGGGGGUAUUGCUGUCAUUUCGCCUGUUUUUUCUUUUUUUUUCUAUUUUUUUCUAUUUACACUACUCACGGUAUUAAGAGUAGAGCUAAAUGGGAGCUUCGAUUUUAAAAAGCGGGGCUAAAUCUGCAAAGUGAAAAAAAGAGACUAAAUCUGUAAUUAAACUCAAAAGUAGGGCUAGUUAUGCAAUUGUCCCUUCACAUUUCAAUGUAUAACAAUUUUGAUUUUAUUUGGUUAAAAUUUUGAAAAUACGACAAUUACUUUUAGCUUGAACACACACAUAUCAAAUUUGUCGAAUUUUCUUUUGCAAAUAUUUCUACAAUAAUACAAUCAUGUUAGAUUUUAUUAUUAUAUUUUAAUAAUAAAUUGGGGUUAAAGUUACAAGAAAUCAAAUAAACUCAGCACUAUCAUAUAUUUAAAUGCGGAGAUACGCUGAUGCCAUAUAUUUGUUAGGUGAAACAGUGAGUCACUGAAUUCUGACGCCGAAUCAUUUCGCCCGGCACAGAUCAGCCACUUUUAUUACCCCCAUCGACAUGGUUAGCUAUAAAAUUUAAGGAGAGUAUUUACGUGAGUUAUAAAAUCAUAGUCAGCUAUAAAGCAACACGUACUUUUAACACAAUAUGUAUGAUAUGUGAGAUAUGUUACUAUAUAUUUUAUAGCUAGCUAUUGUAUAAAUUAACUAUUAAAUUAAAAAAUGAAUUAGAGUGCUAUACUAUUGAACCAUCUCUAUUGGUUUCUUUCGAUUCGCAGAUAACGUACCAUGCAUGAGCUACAGUGCUAGACCUACCUAUCUCACGUCGCAGCUGCGUGCCUAUAUAAUAUUAUAGCUUUUUUUUUCUGUUUUCCUAGAAAUACCCUAAGAUGCUAAAAUUUCAGUGUAAAGUUCUGAUGAUAUAUAUAGUAUCUCAACGUAUUUAAAUUUUUACGCCUCAAGAUAAAUUUUUUAAAAUGCUAAAAAGCUCGUAAUACUAACCCUGUGGGUGCAGUUCUUUUUCGCCGGGACCCCGGGGGGGGGGUGGGGAUGGGAUGCAUCCGGAGCUGGAGAGAUACAGGAACUUUGGCACGCUCGCCGGGCGGCGGCAUCAACGGGAACGGCAGAUUCUUCUGAGGUACGCCGCCGCGAAAC